rnacentral:rRNA from 1 species
GUCGGAACGGAGCUAAUACCGGAUAAUAUAUUGAACCGCAUGGUUCAAUAGUGAAAGACGGUUUUGCUGUCACUUAUAGAUGGAUCCGCGCCGCAUUAGCUAGUUGGUAAGGUAACGGCUUACCAAGGCAACGAUGCGUAGCCGACCUGAGAGGGUGAUCGGCCACACUGGAACUGAGACACGGUCCAG